rnacentral:rRNA from 1 species
UGGGGAAUAUUGGACAAUGGGCGAAAGCCUGAUCCAGCCAUGCCGCGUGUGUGAAGAAGGUCUUCGGAUUGUAAAGCACUUUAAGUUGGGAGGAAGGGCAGUUACCUAAUACGUGAUUGUUUUGACGUUACCGACAGAAUAAGCACCGGCUAACUCUGUGCCAGCAGCCGCGGUAAUACAGAGGGUGCAAGCGUUAAUCGGAAUUACUGGGCGUAAAGCGCGCGUAGGUGGUUUGUUAAGUUGGAUGUGAAAUCCCCGGGCUCAACCUGGGAACUGCAUUCAAAACUGACUGACUAGAGUAUGGUAGAGGGUGGUGGAAUUUCCUGUGUAGCGGUGAAAAGCGUAGAUAUAGGAAGGAACACCAGUGGCGAAGGCGACCACCUGGACUAAUACUGACACUGAGGUGCGAAAGCGUGGGGAGCAAACA